rnacentral:rRNA from 1 species
GAUGAACGCUAGCGGCAGGCUUAAUACAUGCAAGUCGAGGGGCAGCACGGUUAGCAAUAACUGGUGGCGACCGGCGCACGGGUGCGUAACACGUAUACAAUCUACCUUAAACAGGGGAUAGCCUUUCGAAAGAGAGAUUAAUACCCCGUAAUAAAUUGAACGGCAUCGUUUGAUUUGAAAGCUCCGGCGGUUUGAGAUGAGUAUGCGUCUGAUUAGCUAGUUGGUGAGGUAACGGCUCACCAAGGCGACGAUCAGUAGGGGAUCUGAGAGGACUAACCCCCACACUGGUACUGAGACACGGACCAGACUCCUACGGGAGGCAGCAGUAAGGAAUAUUGGUCAAUGGAGGCAACUCUGAACCAGCCAUGCCGCGUGCAGGAUGACGGCCCUAGGGUUGUAAACUGCUUUUGACAGGGAACAAGAAGUCCAUGCGUGGAUUAGUGAGUGUACCUGUAGAAUAAGCCACGGCUAACUACGUGCCAGCAGCCGCGGUAAU